rnacentral:lncRNA from 1 species
GCAGUCUCCGUUGUUGACGUUAGUCGCAGUCUUCGCUGCUAACGUUUUGUUAUGAGUUGCUAAAAUGGUGAAAUGCUGCUCCGCCAUUGGAUGUGCUUCUCGCUGCUUGCCAAAUUCGAAGUUAAAAGGACUGACAUUUCACGUAUUCCCCACAGAUGAAAACAUCAAAAGGAAAUGGGUAUUAGCAAUGAAAAGACUUGAUGUGAAUGCAGCCGGCAUUUGGGAGCCUAAAAAAGGAGAUGUGUUGUGUUCGAGGCACUUUAAGAAGACAGAUUUUGACAGAAGUGCUCCAAAUAUUAAACUGAAACCUGGAGUCAUACCUUCUAUCUUUGAUUCUCCAUAUCACCUACAGGGGAAAAGAGAAAAACUUCAUUGUAGAAAAAACUUCACCCUCAAAACCGUUCCAGCCACUAACUACAAUCACCAUCUUGUUGGUGCUUCCUCAUGUAUUGAAGAAUUCCAAUCCCAGUUCAUUUUUAUAUCCAUGUUCAAGAGGAAAUGUUUGUUCAAGGCAAAAAAUUAUUUCUCAGUAAUCAUCAUAGCUAACAUUUAUAAGGUGCCAAUCUUUAUUCAAAG